rnacentral:rRNA from 1 species
CAGUCGCCGCGGUAAUACGAAGGGUGCAAGCGUUACUCGGAAUUACUGGGCGUAAAGCGUGCGUAGGUGGUUGUUUAAGUCCGUUGUGAAAGCCCUGGGCUCAACCUGGGAAUUGCAGUGGAUACUGGGUCACUAGAGUGUGGUAGAGGAUAGUGGAAUUUCCGGUGUAGCAGUGAAAUGCGUAGAGAUCGGAAGGAACAUCUGUGGCGAAGGCGACUAUCUGGGCCAACACUGACACUGAGGCACGAAAGCGUGGGGAGCAAACAGGAUUAGAUACCCCAGUAGUCCCUGUCUCUUAUAC